UACGUAGGGGGCAAGCGUUGUCUGGAAUCAUUGGGCGUAAAGCGCGUGUAGGCGGUCCGGUAAGUCGGCUGUGAAAGUCCAGGGCUCAACCCUGGGAUGCCGGUCGAUACUGCCGGACUAGAGUUCGGAAGAGGCGAGUGGAAUUCCCGGUGUAGCGGUGAAAUGCGCAGAUAUCGGGAGGAACACCAAUGGCGAAGGCAGCUCGCUGGGACGUUACUGACGCUGAGACGCGAAAGCGUGGGGAGCGAACAGG
rnacentral:rRNA from 1 species